CCUACGGGAGGCAGCAGUGGGGGAUAUUGGACAAUGGGGGGAACCCUGAUCCAGCGACGCCGCGUGAGUGAAGAAGCAUUUCGGUAUGUAAAGCUCUGUCAGCAGGGAAGAAAGCACUGACGGUACCUGACCAAGAAGCCCCGGCUAACUACGGGCCACCAGCCGCGGUAAUACGUAGGGGGCAAGCGUUAUCCGGAAUUAAUGGGUGUAAAGGGAGCGUAGAGGGGUGUGCAAGGCUGGAGUGAAAGGCGGGGGCCCAACCCCCGGACUGCUCUGGAAACUGUAUGGCUGGAGUGCAGGAGAAGUAAGCGGAAUUCCUGGUGUAGCGGUGAAAUGCGUAGAUAUUAGGAAGAACACCAGUGGCGAAGGCGGCUUACUGGAUUUUAACUGACGUUGAGGCUCGAAAGCGUGGGGAGCAAACAGGAUUAGAUACCCGGGUAGUC
rnacentral:rRNA from 1 species